rnacentral:rRNA from 1 species
UACGUAGGGUGCGAGCGUUAAUCGGAAUUACUGGGCGUAAAGCGUGCGCAGGCGGCGCGUUAAGACAGGUGUGAAAGCCCCGAGCUUAACUUGGGAAUUGCGCUUGUGACUGGCGUGCUGGAGUGUGGCGGAGGGAGGUGGAAUUCCACGUGUAGCAGUGAAAUGCGUAGAGAUGUGGAGGAACACCGACGGCGAAGGCAGCCCCCUGGGCUGAGAUUGACGCUCAGGCACGAAAGCGUGGGGAGCAAACAGG